rnacentral:lncRNA from 1 species
UGCCUACCCACCCAUGUGUUUGCCGUCAGUGUAAGCACAUUCUUACUGCCUUACCUUCUCUAGCUGGUAACAAUGCUGAGUGGAUGGGUCUCUGGUUUGGGAAUCGGCAGACAGAAUUCUCAUGGUGAUGUGACAGUAUUUGUAGGUUGACUUGGCUCCAAGCAGGAGGAAGAGAGGGGCUGUCAACAUCUUGGUGAGACAAGAGCAGGUUGGAGGCAGUCUCUGCUGACACCCUGGUAACUGAGGUCAGCUGGCCUGGAAAUCCACACUCACCACUGCCAAGUACAGAGGACAACUGAAGAGAUGGCUCUCCCAGCAAAAGGAGGCAGAUCCAGUGAUCAUGACAUCUGACCCUCAUCCUGGUAUGAGCCACAUUAUGAACCCUGCUGCCCAUCAUGUCGCCCCACAGCCUCCUGCUGCUGUUAGCAUUGAUUCUUCCUUCCAUCUUCUCUCUCAGCUUGGAUUUUUAGACCCUGAAAUCUGCCUUAAUUCAUCUCUCUUGAAAACUUCUGUUGCUGCUCUUGGAUCUGGUAAUAUUUUUUGUCAGCUUUCCUCUUGAAUAAGUGAAUGUUUUCUAAGGAGUCCAAAUUCCUCUGACUUGAAUCUCAGAAUAUCAGAGCCAGAAGGAACCUCAAAGUCAGCUGGACCAAUGGUUCCAGCCUGCGGCAUUUGGAUUCUCAGAGACUUUGGAGUUAUUGUGAGUCUUAGAACACAUAUACACUUAUAGUUCUUUCUUUUCCUUCACUGGGCAGCAAAAUUGACAUGAUUAGUAUGUGGUAUCCAUAACUUUUUGAACUUAAGAAGAGUUUUCAUGCUCUAAAAAUCUGAGAACCACUGAUUCACACCAGCUGCCUCAUUUUACAAAUGAAAAAAUGAAGCCCAGAAAAUGAUUUGAUUUUCCCAAGGUCGUAGAGUAAAUUAAGAUCAGGUCAGGACCUGGGUAUAAUCUUUGGAUUGUCAACCAUCAACCCAUUGCUCUUUCCAGUAUCCCAGCCCCCAAAAUAUCAUAGUCCUCACAAUUACAUAGCAGCUCCCGCAGACACUACUGCAAAGGGGAUUAAAGGAUCCCCAACUGGCUCAGGCUGAAAGUGAGGGAGUGACUUCUCCCUCUACAGCAAACGUUAAGCUUUUUUGAAAAGUAUUGCCAGGAUAUAAUAAACAAAUAAAUGUCCCUAGAGAGUGCACUAAUAAUUAGAUAAAGUUGCCCCAUCUUUUUUCAGACAAUUGUAACUUGCCCACUGCCCCUGGCAUGGGUGAGUGAGGAGUCCUAGAUCCCAGAAGGUCACUAAUUAAGUUCAGGGAAGCAUCCCACCUAUAGGCUUUCCCGAAGUCUACGGCAUAGCUCUGGAAGGGAGUGUCAGGACCAAAUUUCUUGCUCAGGGAUUUUGAAAUUAGAACCCUGAGAGACGGGGUCAGCUGGAGGAGGAGGCUGGGCAGGACAAUAAUGAUGAAAUGUUGGGUCUAGUGGACAUUUAGAGCCACAAGCCCAUAGAGAAAAAGAAGAAGAAUGAGAUGGGGUGAGGGAGAGCGAGUGUGCACGUGAGGGGCCACGUGGCUACAGAGAGAAAGGGACACAGAGAAAGAGAAGGAAAGAGGAAGACCUGGAGAGAGCUCCUUAGAUUGAACCUUUCUAGUUCCCAGUUCCUGUCACAGAAGGCCCAGAUUCCCUAGGAUUCCAGAAGCUCUGGAUCUUAAAAUAAGUUCUUUUGGGGCCGGCCCGGUGGCGCAGAGGUUAAGUGCGCACAUUCAGCUUCGGUGGCCCCAGGUUCACUGGUUCAGAUCCCGGCUGCGGACAUGGCACCGCUUGGCAAGCCAUGCUGUGGUAGGCGUCCCACAUAUAAAGUAGAGGGAGAUGGGCAUGGAUGUUAGCUCGGGGCCAGUCUUCCUCAAAAAAAUAUAUAAAUAAAUAAAAUAAGUUCUUUCUACUUAGGCUGAUUUGAGUAAGAUUUGCUCGCUGAAUGAACAGCCAGCUCCGGAGGAAUAAAUUCAGAUCUCAUGCAUAAACUCAGAGUUCUCACAGCCCAAGAUUCGAUGGUGACCCAAGACUCCCUCACAGCUGAGGCUGCCUCAUCGAGAAAAUGAAGGACGAGAGCACUUCAGCUGCCACCAGCACAGCCCCAACACUCUGCAGUGCUGAUGACGGGCACUGGUUGAGCAACCGAAAUCAUCCAUUACAAAGGUCUCAGGACACAGCUGUGACAUGCGACUCCACAGAGACCUCAUGUUAAUCCCGGAUAUUUCUGAAUUUCAUUCCUGUUCAGAAGGAGCCUGUCUCUAAGUACUUGAGAAUAGGAAAGAAGCUUCUAUGUCAUCACUCUGGCAUCUUUCAUUUCAGUAAAAAAAAGAAAAUUGAUUUUGAGAUUUCUGUUCUAUAUGGCACUUAAUGUGAAAUAUCUAGUUCUAAAGUGAUUUAGAAAAAGAAAAAAGUGCACUGUGGUGUUAAAAUCUAUUUAUCUUCUUUUAUUCUCAAGGGCAAGAAAUGAAAAUAAUAACAGAUAACAGUAGAUUUUCAGUGUGGUGACAGAAAGAGGUUAUCAGGAAAAUCCCAGGGUGAAAAUAAAGUAGAAAAGCAAGAAUACAGUUUGAGAAAGAUGUGGAAGAAAGAUAUGAAGCUAGAAAGGAAAAUAAGAGAUUGUCAGUGACAGCCAAGAUUCUUAAAAGAUAGAAGAGUUCUUACUGAUUCAUCUGUAAGUAGAGGUAACAGAGGAAAAAAAAAACAAGAGAUGAACACCAUGAUGCUAGGAUCGGAAAUCUCAGGGGUAUGGUGUUGUCGUUAAAUUCUGCCUUUGGCUAAAAAAAAAAAAUCAGAAAAAGAGAUUUAGGGAAAUACGCAUGGGAAAUUGUGUGAAAUGAGUUGUUGAUAAAGUAAAAGAAAGUAUACAAGAAACACGGAAAUAUCUUUAAGCCGCUGCCUCUCCAACAUCCAUUCUAAGUUGUUAAGAGAAUGAGUUAAUGGAUUUAGAGAAGUUCUGAUCAUUAUAUUCGGGGGGCACUUUGGAUGCAGUAUUUCAGAAAGCUGUCAAAAUAAGUACAUCUCUUCAAGAUAUUAGAGGAAAAAACAAGAAAAAACAAGCACACAUGGACCUAAUUUUCUUCUUUUUUGCUCUCCUUCCUAAGAAAGGCCUUCCUGGAGGGUGUUGUGCUGAGUGAAAUAAGCCACAGAGGCAUAUUCAUGAUGACAGUUUAAAAAUCUUUGUCGGGUCAUUCCGACAUCUCUGUCAUCUUGGUGCUGGUAUCUGUUGAUUGUCUGUUUUCACUUAGUUUAUCUUCCUUGUUCUUGAUGUAAUGAGCAAUUAUUUUUUUACUGAAUUCUGGGCAUCUGGGGCAUUAUGUUGUGAGACUCUGGGUCUUAUUUAAGCCCUCAUUUUUUCUGGUUUCCUCUGACAUUACUUGAGCAGGGGAAGAAGAGGGGACCCGCCACCACUGCCAGGUGAGAGUAAGUUUCCACUUGCCCUUUGUUGACAUAGAGGUGGGGUUCCUCUUUACUGCUUGAUGUGGGUGGGAGUUCUGGCUCCCUACUAGGUCUCUGCUGAUACCUACCUGGCUGGGCAGCAUCCAGAUGCCUCACUACUCUCCUCACAUGGCCUCCGCUGACAUCAUGGUGGGGCUGUGCGGGGACCUCCGUGCUGCUGGGCAGUGGUGAAAGUUCUGACUGUCCAUUAGGCUUCUUUAGACACCAUCCCAGUGAGGAUGGGGAGGGCGCCUGACUGCCGCCAAAUGGAGAUGGAAGUCCAGGCUCCCAGUUGAUCUCCACUGACAGCAUGAGGAGGCCUCAUUAGCUCCAGGGGAUGAAAGUCCUGGCUCUCUACUCAGCCCUUUCUGACAACACCCUGGCAGAGAGGUUUGGGCUCCUUGUUAAAACUCCACAGAAAUGGAAGUCCAGGCUCCCCACUCAGCCUUACUGGAAUGGGUGGGAGAGGGGUCAUAGAUUUUUCUGUAGUGUUUGGCUGGAGUAGACCAGUUAUUAUCUAAAUGUUUCCUAUCUUGCGAGGUUGCUCCUUUUCCUAGAGAGAGUGGGCUUCUGUUGGGGCUUUUUCUUUCUAGAGUCAUUGGCAUUUCCAGGCUGCCAGCUCCUUCAGCUCCAAGUCUGGGAAAUAUAAGGCAAAAAAGAAGACCCAGGGAACUCACCACCAUACUGUUCCUUGGAUUCCGAGGUCCCUAGUUGGUCUGCCUUCUUCUCUCCACAUUUCAGAGUCUUCUUGUGUUUGUUUCUGUGGACUGUCCAGGGUUUUCAGUUGUCUUUAGCAGGAGGACCAGGAAAAGGUACAGCUGUUCCACUUCCCACAUAUGGAAUCUUUCCAGAUCAUUCACAUACAGAUAACAACAGUACCUGCCUCCUAGAGACCUCAAAGGGUUAUUGUGAGGAUUAAAUGAGUUAAUUGGACCUUUGGAGCAGUGGCUGGCACAUGGUAAGCCUUAUAUAAGUGUUAUCUCUUCUUGUUAUUAGAUAAACAGUAUAAUGGGGUUGUUAAGGGAACAGAGUCUGGGCCCAGACUACCAGGAUUUAAAUCCUAGCUCUUACCCUUAAUAGAUGUGUUAGUCUUUGGGAAAUUAACUGAAUCUCUCUGUGUCUAAACAUUCCCACUGUAAAUGGCAAUAAUAAUAGUUUCUUCUUCACAAAGUUAUUGUGUGAACUGAAAGAGUUAAUAUAUCUCUAAAGCUCUUAGAUGAUUGCCUUGCACAAAGUGAGCUCUAUUUAAGUAUUAGAUAUUAUUCUUUUAAGCUAAAGUACUUCAUUUUCUCCUCAAAGCACCCUCUAAAAUAAGUGGUAAAGCAUCACUAUCUCCAUGUAUAAAUGAAGAAACAGAAGAGGUUCUGAGGCAUGCAAUGACCUGCCCGAGGUCACAGAGCCAGUAUGUGGCAGAGCCAGCUUGAGCCACAGAUCCUCUGACUGCAAGUCUAGGGCUCACGGCAUCAUGUAAGCCCUGAAUUGAGGCUUGGUUAGGAGUGCAAGAUGAAAACCAGGAUUCAUGCUUAGAGAACAGGGCAAGCAGACAGCUGCCGAAAUCACACGUGGGUGGGCAAGGCAGCAUGAAGAUAGGAACAAAGUGGAAAGAAGGCCAGGCGGGAGUCUGGUUGUUGGGCUAAGUCCAUAUCAGGAAAUUGGUGUUGAAGAGACCACCAAGAUGAUUUCCAGUGAGAGAUUUCUACCCCUCCAGAAGGUGUGCCAUCAACGUCUCCUGUUCACAGGGCAGUGACGGGUUUCCUUAGAGCUCAGCACUCCCACUCCAAGGCAGCUUAUGCUCUUCAGAGAGACUCCAGCUCCAAGAAAGCAGGGGCUGUGCCUUCUUCAGUUCCGAAGCUCCUCAAGUCUGACUCGUGAAAUGGGGUCCUUCCUCAAGGGAUUCCCGCUGCCGCCCCUGCCCAGCCUGCCGUCUACAUACUUCGGAGCCUGUCCAAGUCCAGCUUGUGCCUCAGGGCUCAUACCGAGUGCCACCAAGCCUUCCUGGAGACACCAGCCCACACUGAGCUCGCCCCUUCCUAAACCCUUAGCGUUAACUAUCUCUGCCAUAUGUUUUGGAAUGUGUUUAUUUAAGCAUCAUAUAAUAUCUAGUCCUAUAUUUUUCCUGAUAUUUCAUAUGUCCAAGUCUUGUGUAACCAGCAAGACCAUGGGUCUUGGGGGCAGUGGUUGCAUCAUACAAGUUUUGAUGAGGUUUGGCCUCCCAGCAUUUGACAUGGAACACAGUACUGGGUAGUGAGUCAAUUAAUACUUGUUAACUCUGAAAGCAAAGGUCUCAGACAAGCAGAGGUGCCCCCAUGUGGAGUACAUGGAGCCCCAGGCAAAAUUCUCUUUUUGCAAGGCCCUAACUAAACACUUUGAUUAAAAAAUGUUUUACAAAAUGUGUGGGCCCCUGGAAAGUAUAGUGAUUUAUUGCUGAAGGUGUAGAAUAAUGUGUAGGAAGAGCUGGAAGAGGUACUUUGAUAUGUAUUUAUUGUCCAAUCAGGGCAGAUGUCCAGAGACCAUCUUUUCUGUUUGGGUCCAGGAAUCAUCUCUUCAUGUUCUUUAUUGUCAAAUGUGCCAUUCCUGGAGAAUUUCACAUCUUCCACCUCCAAAAACAGGGUGCAAUGCUGUCAUUACUCACAAUGUCAGGACUUUUUGGAGCUUGCUUAUAUUGCAACUAUACAGAUCUCAUCUCUGCACGUAUUUAAUGUUACUUAUACCAUGUAUGCAUAACAGUGGGUCAUCCAUUGUGCGGCCUGUGAGUACUGCUUUCCAACGACCCUGUCAAAGGUAGCUGCUGUGGUUCAUUGAUAAUGACUAUAAAUGCAAGUCUCAUCCAGAGAAUGCUGGAAAAUGUGAACAAUAAUCCAUUUUGCGGUCAUAUAAAGUCUACAGUUUGGAAUUUUAUAACAUAAAGAUAGAACACCGUGUCUUCCAACUCUGUCUUCUCUUGAACUCUUCAGGCGGAAGUCACUGCAUCCUUAGAAGGUGAUUUCUUUCCCUGUUGACCACACCCCUGCCUUCCAUACAUCCCACCAGCCAGGAGGGUAGGCGAGGGGCCUGUGGGCAGAGUAAGUAAAGCAGUCACAUUCUGCAAGAAAUGUUCGUCCCUCGCCCCAGGAGAGCAUGAGGCCACCAAAUCCACUGGAGGCAAAAGAGGACCCUGAGCAGAAGGGCCCAUCUGCAUUCUAAAGCAAUGGUCUAGAAAGCCCUUGGAGGAGAUAGGCUUGGCCACCUCAGAGGACUGCCCGACAUGGGUAGGGAAAGGAACUUAUGGAGGGGUGGGGUAACCCUGUGUGCCAGCAGUAGAGUACACAGGUAAAGGACACCUGCAGCCUCCCUCCUGCCCUUGGGUGUUGUGGCCCUAGGAGGCCACGGAUGGAACGGGCAGGCAAGAGCCGAUGCUGAAGAGCUCAAGUCCAAAGCUGGGUGGGAUUGGUCCUGGUAACCCUGAGUCCUGAACGUCUCCUGUGACCACCAUGAGUGAGUCACCUCAAAUCAGAGUGUCAGCACAUUUUGGGGGGCUCAAUCUCAUGAGAGAAAUACUGCAACAGCCAGCGGAAAUGACCAGCUCAUGAGCCCACCCUCCUGGAAGCCCCAUAGGUGGGGAUUAUGAUCCCAGGAGCAUGAGUCUCGGAGUUCCUUGGGGCAGGUGGUGACCCCACACACAGGAUCAAGGGUCAAAGAGUGUCCUGAAGGAUGGAAAUAAGGACCAAACUCCCAGGAAUCCAUCCAGGUUUGGGGUGUCCCACCCAGGUGGCAUUGCCAGGCACCCCAGGGAACUUCAAAAAUUUUGAAGAAAGCACUGGGCCCAGGGCAGCAGCCUACUGUCCCAGGUCUAAGGCUGUUACUGCAGCCAAGCCUUUCUGCGCUCCUGGUAAUCCCCAAGACCAGACCAGCCCGUGUGGCUAUGGGGAUUGCCAAUGUGCUGGGCUACCAUGUAGGGAGCAUCGGGCAUUUUCAGGAAUUUGUACUCUGGUCUCAUUUCGGCACAAAGUGCUGGUGCCCUUUUUUCUUUUGGGGGCCUCACUACAUUGAGUACAUUCUCUCAGAUAAAUUUCUGGUCUCACCUUGUUAAUUCUUUGAAAAGAACAAUUAUGAACUGACUCACAGGACAGUAUUCCUGUUUUUUCUCGUGUUAAUAAGUAUCAGAUGGCAGUGAAUUUUUCUAUCUUUCCUGUGGCAGCUUCCCAUUACACCUGUGCAGCUUCCCAUUACACCUGUGACAGCUUCCCAUUACACCUGGCAUUUUGAGCCACACACAUGUGCAGGAUUUUGCAAAAUCUGAGUAGAGAAGAGGCUAGAAGAUGAGGUGAGAGAGACGUUUUAUGAAAAUAAAAAUUCAUAAAAAUAUCACCAAAAAUAUCCCACUAAAUUAUAUCACUGAUAGCAUCCGUUAAAAUAUCUCAUUAAAAAUAUCAUUGAUCAGAUCCAUUAUUUUGUUAUUUAAAAAGUUGUUAAAUCUUUGGUCAGCAGUUACUCUGUGUCACCAUCACAUUCGUUGCUCAGAUUUCUUAGUUCCUCUCAAAGGAAUGUUACCAAAUAUGUGAAUUUCUGGCUACCGUGAAAUCAGAUAAAGCGAUGGGUAUUUUGAUAAGUAUAGAACAUGGAAUUCGUUUGUAGCUUAAAACAAUCUCUCAAGGCGUUGGUUGGCCACUAAGUAGCAUGUAUUCAUAUUUGCCUUUGUUUCCUUUCUAAUAGUGCUGGGGCUUCUGCCACUUUAGAAAACAGAAUUUCUAACUCUCAUGGCAGUUCAGGCACAGUUUCUAAUAAUCUAACCUCACGAUACACACAAAUGACUUAUAUUAAUGCCAUAGAAAUAAACUAUUAUAUUCUAGUGCUUAUGUGAGCCCCAAGCUGUGCUAGGUAGUUCUCUCCUAUUAUUGUGUUUAAUGGAUUGAGCAACUAACAUUUAUUCAAUGUUUGGCAUUUCUUUUAAAUGCCGUCUAGCAUAGUACAAUGGUUCCUGAAUGUCAGUGGAUAUAGGAAUCAUCAGGAAAGGACUUAUUAAAACACAGGUUCCUGGGGAUCGUCCCCGUGGCCAAGUGGUUAAGUUCUCGCGCUCCGCUUCAGUGGCCCAGAGUCUCGCUGGUUCGGAUCCUGGGCGUGGACAUGGCAUCGCUCGUCAGGCCACGCUGAGGCGGCGUCCCAGAUACAUAGCACAGUCAGAGGCGCUCACAACUAGAAUAUACAACUAUGUACUGGGGGGAUUUGGGGAGAAAAAGCAGAAAAAGAAAAAAGAGAAGAUUGGUGCCAAUCUUGAAAAAAAAAAGAAAUUUAAAACACAGCUUCCUGGAUCCCAUCCCCAGGGUUUCUGAUUCAGCAGGUAGGGGGUGAAGCUUGAGAAUCUGCAUUCCUAACAUGUUCCCAGGUUAUGCUGGUGCUGCCGGUCCAGGGACCACACUGUGAGAAUCACUGGCAUAGGAGUUAAAAGCAGUGACUUUGCUAUCAGACUGAUCUGGUUUUGAGUCUUUUGGUUUAACUUUCCUCAUCUAUAAAAUUAUACCUCCAUCAUUAGGUUAUUUUGGAGAUUAAAUAUGAUAUAUGUGAAGUGCUUAACAUGGUAUCUUGCAUGCGUUAUAACUCAGUAAAUGUUAACUGCCACCAUAGUAGCAUUUGCUACAGUACUACUCUUACUACUAAGUAAACUUAGAAAAUGACUUUGAUUUCAAAAUCAGUUUUAGAUUGUCAGUGCUCUCUCUUCUCUUUACCUAGAGCUGAGCUCCAAUGUCUCGCAUGCUAUGACAUCAUAAUGAGAUUGAUAACCAAGACUCUGAGGAAUGGCAUAUUGGAUUUUUCAUAUUAUCAUAGAGAUUCUCCAUCAUAACUAAGAAAAAUAUAUAAAACAAAUGCCAUUUUUUAAUAACCCUGAAAAAACCUCUAGGAAAAAGAGCUGCAAUUAAGUUAGUCUAUUAGCUUUACCAAACCUUAUUGAAUAUGUUAUUAUUAGCUGUCUAAAAUGAUACAUCUAUUUGUGGUUAAACACACACAAGUAAAAAGCCAAGAACCUUCAUGAAAGGUUGCUUAAUCUUGAUCAAUACUUUAGAAGAGUCAGCAUAUACUUUGGCCACAGAAAAUUCUAGUAACUUAUUCGUAACUUAUGUGAAAUUAUCCUGCUACUAAUCUGCACAAUUCUAGAGUCCCAGAAAUGGUAGAAUAUAUAAGUUUUGAUGAAUAAAUGAAGAGCAAUAGGAUAUACUGGAGUAUAUGAGGAAGCCAUAUGGUUUAAAAUUAAUUCAGCCUGAACUUGUUAUUCCAGAAAGCCCUGAUGUGGCCUCUUGAACAUGCAUUGUACAUCUGCUUUAAGCAUUUACAAUGUCCCAAAGACAAGAAUUAUGCCCUUAAAGGUAGAGAUUCAGCUUCCCCCUAGAUUAGCAUUUCUUUAAGAAUAAGUAUCUCUUCCUGGAAACUAAGGAUUAAUUACAGAUCUGCUGUUCUCACCUUGUGACCACUGACCUGCUAUGCUAGCUAAGCAUCUAGUGACAGUAGUAAAAGAGAUAUUCCUGGCAUAUGUGAUGUACGUUCUUUGUUCCAAGAUAGUAUAUAACCACUCUGUACACUCCACUUCUCUGGUGUAUGUCUUUCCUUGGGGAAGGAAGCCCCCAAGCUAUAGUCCUCAGACCUGGCUCAUGAUAAACUCACCCAAUUUUGAUUUAUAGAUUGAUUAUGGAUUAUUUGCAUCAACAUUUGGAAACAUAUUCAUCAUCCAUUAAUCAAAUUCUGACCCAGGAUUCCCAUCAGCUAUAUGAUUCUGGGUACCGAGAGGCUCAUCCUGGGCUCUUUCCGUCACCUGCAUCUACAUUCUUUUCUAUUUUUAUGGAGAGCCACUAAGAAAUACAACAGAUAAGCUAACAUCAAAGAUUUCAUCCAAAUUAUCUAAAAUAAGUAUGGCAACAUUCACAUUAAAGAAAUGUCAUAUUCUGUGUUGGUUUUGAGUGCUCUGAUAUUCACAGUGAGAUAAAAAAUUAAUAAAUGUCACUUGGCUUCUUUGGUAUUAUGGUCUCUUGGGCAUAUAAGUAGAAGCAACAUUUAUUAUCUAAUACUGUCGCCCAGGAUGGGCAAACCACAGCCCUCUCCCCUGGCUCCCCAUUUUGUAAAUAAAGUUUUAUUGACACACAGCCACAUUCGUUCUUUUACCUAUUGUCUAAGGCUGCUUUCACACUACAGUGGCAGUGUUGAAUAGCUGCAACAGAGACCCUGUGACCUGCAAAGUUUGACAUAUUUACCCUUUGGUCCUUUACAGAAAGGCAGUUGACCUCUGCUGCAGACGGUUAGUUGGGAUGCUUCCGAAAGAAAUGUACCAAGAAGAAAAUGUAAUCUCCUUCCUUAAAAUACCUACCCAAAGAGAUCAUUUGUCUUCAAUAAAAUAGUUUCCUAGUAGAGUAAUAAUAAGUUAGGCUUAUGAUUGGUUUCCCAUUAACCUCAGAUUGCAAAUGUUCACUAGCCCUUUCAAAUGCUUAGUAUCCUUACAGUGACGUAUCUGCCAGCCGUGGACGACAUUCUACUCUGGGUCGGAAACUGUCCUCAGAUUUGAAUUAUUCUUGCUUAAUUUAAAGAGCCAGAUCUAGUUUUAUUAAAGUUAAUGAAGGCCCAGAACCUCAUUAAUGGCUAAAUGACUUCUCUCUCUGAGCCAUGUGAUUAUUUCAGAAUUAGUAGUUCACUUAAAAACAAAUAUCCCUAUUUUAUUUUAUUAGAACAGAGCAUUGGUCUGUGUUUAAAAGUAGAUUUCUAUUUUUCUGACAAAUGUCUUUCCAAGUAUGUGAGGUACAAUUUCUAUGACUUUUCCUGAAAAAAAUUGACGUAUUUGUUGAGUGAAUGUUGAAUAAACAAAGAGUAUAUAUCAGAGUGGGAAGAACAUGCCCUUUGGGGUCAGAGAAACUGGGUUCAUCUCUUAGAGUUUCCUCCUCCUGCUAGUGUGUGACAACCCUCUGACCCUCAGUUUCCUAUCCUUAAAAUAGAGGCAACCCCUAUAUGAUACAUAUAUAGGAUUGUGGGAAGGAUUUUAAAUAAUGCAUGUGAAAUGACUAGUUAGAGCCAGGCACAUAGCAGGUUUACAGGUGGUAACUUAUUGAGUGGUAGUUAAGUGAGUGCUAUGGUCUGAAUGUUUGUGCCUCCCAUCCCCCAAAUUCAGGUUGAAAUCCUAAUGUCCUAUGUGAUAGUAUUGGAAGGUGGGGCCCUUGGGAGGUGCUUAGGUCAUGAGAGUGGAACCCUCAUCAAUGGGAUUAAUGCUCUUAUAAAAGAGACCCCACAGAGCCCUGUAGCCCCUUAUCCUAUGUGAGGACAUAGGGGGAAGUCAAUAACCCAAAAAAGUGCCCUCACUUGACCGUGCUGGCACCCGACAUCAGACUUCCGUCCUCCAGGACUGUGAGAAAUAAAUUUCUGUUGUGUAUAAGACACCAGUCUGUGGUGUUUUGUUCCAACAGCUCAAAUGAACUAAGACAAGGGGCAUAGUUGUUUUUGUUUUCUGAUUUCUUCUUCACUUAAUUAGGUUUUCCUAGAGGUGAACUAGAUGCCUAAAAGUAGUGAUGCUUAAAUUUAUUUUAAUAAAUUUAGGAAGCUAGCUCAAAUGAGAAAGCUGCUGUGGAGACAAGGGAACCAGGCAGGCUCCAGCACGCCCAGGGCCACCCCUGGUGUCCAGGGCGCCCCUUAACCCCUCCCCCACCCCCGCAGUGCUUCACUCGUGCUUGCUCUGGGCGCGCAACAGCGGGGAAUCAGCAUUUAGAUGAUUCUCUGGAAGUCUUCCAUCCCAACAGGAAAGACGAUAAUCAUCCUUGCAAAGAGGAUGCACGGCUGGUGAUGCCUUCGCUCCUUUGUGGGGAGCGAUGCCCAGGAAAGCUCUGACCGCGGCUGAGAGAUCUGAACUGCAGUUCCAGCUCUGCACACCAGCCGUGGGACCUCGGACGAGGCCUGCAGCGGCUCAGAGCCCCAGCGCCCCUUUCCAUGCGAAAGCAGGUCUCCGUGCUCCUUCCAGAUCUCUACAGACUUCUUCACCUGAGAGACGUCGCACAUGCAUGGACUUUAAUGGAACAG